UACAGAGGUCUCGAGCGUUAGGCGGAAUCACUGGGCUUAAAGCGUGUGUAGGCGGAUCGGUAAGUACCUUGUGAAAUCCCACAGCUUAACUGUGGAACUGCUUGGUAUACUGCCAGUCUUGAGCCAGCUAGGGGCUACCGGAACAAAUGGUGGAGCGGUGAAAUGCUUAGAUAUCAUUUGGAACGCCAAAGGUGAAAACAGGUAGCUGGGGCUGUGCUGACGCUGAGACACGAAAGCCAGGGGAGCAAACGGG
rnacentral:rRNA from 1 species